rnacentral:rRNA from 1 species
GAUGAGCGCUAGCGGCAGGCUUAAUACAUGCAAGUCGUGGGGCAGCAGGACUGUAGCAAUACAGUUGCUGGCGACCGGCAAACGGGUGCGGAACACGUACGCAAUCUACCCAGAACUGGUGAAUAGCCCUCCGAAAGGAGGAUUAAUACACCGUAAUAUUAUAAAGUGGCAUCACUUAAUAAUUAAAGCUCCGGCGGUCUUGGAUGAGCGUGCGGCCCAUUAGGUAGUGGGUUGAGGUAACGGCUCACCAAGCCUGCGAUGGGUAACUGGUGUGAGAGCACGACCAGUCACACGGGCACUGAGACACGGGCCCGACUCCUACGGGAGGCAGCAGUGAGGAAUAUUGGUCAAUGGACGCAAGUCUGAACCAGCCAUGCCGCGUGGAGGAUGAAGGCCCUCUGGGUUGUAAACUUCUUUUAUGGGGGACGAAAUCACUUAUUCUUAAGUGUCUGACGGUACCCCAGGAAUAAGCACCGGCUAACUCCGUGCCAGCCGCCGCGGUAA